AUGUUUUAUGACUUGUUCCUUCAUCAGUCAGCAUUUCAGGCAUCCUCAUUUAUUCCUUUUUCAGGUUUUAUGGCAUUGAUGUUUGAAAUGUACCGAAGCAGUGGAAAGGGCAAGGAGAAUAAGCAAAGAAAAAGAGCAGGCUUUGGCGUCAAAGGACAUGGACUCAGUGGGCACCUAGGCUGGCUCCGAGAUAUUAACCAUGAUACCCAAUACUACUGGACUAAUUUCUUCGUGCAUGAAAGGAGAGGACACUGUUGGCUUUGCAGAUUGUUGGAAGUAUUAAAUAAAGCAAAGCCAUGAAGGAUUUUUAGAUGCUGAAUCAUGGAAACCAUGAGCUUUCUUCAGAUGUUUGUUUCCUUAGCUUAGAGAUGUAUGGCGACUAAGAGAAAGACCAAGAUUCGCAUUAAAGAAGAAAAGGGUACAGCCCAGGCUGGGUAGAAAUCAAUGUACAGUCUGUGGACAAAGAGAAUUCUGGCUGGUAUAAUAACAUAAGAAAUAUUUAUGAGGCUGAUGGAACAAAGGGAAUUCUGUUUGCUUCUCUCUACGUCAUGUUGUAGUUUGUUGUAUAAUAGCAAUAAAAAAUAAUCAUGUUUUUCA
rnacentral:lncRNA from 12 species